rnacentral:lncRNA from 1 species
GUGGACAACUGCCAUUAGUUAGUAUUAGCUCAUUUCUUUAGUGUUAUGAAGUUGUAGCUGCCCUAGAAAAUUAAAGCCGUAAGUUUUGGUAGUCAAAUAAAUGGAAAAUGGAUCAAUUAUUUUCCUUUUUCUGUAGUUACAUUUUAAUUGGUGGAUGCUAAGGAAUGCCUAUGUUAGCUGAAGCACUAUUUCUAGCAAAAUAUGAGAAGUUCAUAAAUAUUCACUGAAAUAACUUUUUGAAUUUAUCUGCUGCCCUUUAUGGACUUGAGAAAUGGGAACUGUUGAGUAUUCAGCAGAGAUUUCUGAGUAGUAAUUUACAAAUAGUUUCAGUAUAAAACAUAGUCAGUGUUAUUAAUCUUGUACACACUAUAGCUAAGACCACCCUAUAUAGAAAUAUGGAUAGCUUAUGCUAUGGAGUAGCAGCUAAAGCUUAUAUCAUCGAGUAAAAUCCUGGUUGAAAAACACAAGA